AAGCUUCUCAUGUGAUGGCUCACCCAUAAUUUUCCUCACAUAAUGAGUCCUGGCAAGCUUGACAGUGAAGAAAAGUGUUGUGAUGGUAUUUGUUCAAGAAGGGAUCAGUAAUUGUGAGACAGGAAGGAAGAUGGCAAAUUCAGAAGCAGCCGUCACCUGGGUGGUGGACAGAGGCCGCUCACCCCCAGUCAUCCUGCAGCUCACAGGUCUCUUCUGACCAGGAGAAAGAUGGCGUGGCAAUUAAGUGUUCACCGUGCAUGUGUUCCAUCAACUUAUUAUUCCUGUAUCUGUCUUCCUUUUUUUCCCUUAGCCUUUCUCUCAGGAGUGGCAGCUGUGGCCAGCACUAGUGUAGCCCUGGCCAACUGUGUCACGGCUGUCUUUGAUCUCCCUGUCUUCCUUCCAGCCCCACAGUUACUGACCUCGACUCAAACACCAUCACGGCACUCUCUUCCCUGUUAAACUUGCCGGGAUCCAUUGUAAUGUAAGGGGUAUUGAAUGUGAGCGAUGAAACGAGAAGGUAGUGGCAAAGGGGAAAAAAGUACAGGGGAGCGUAGGAGAGACACCUCUCUCCACUGUGCCUGACAGCGCAGGAGAGACACCUCUCUCCACUGUGCCUGACAGUCUUUCAGUGAUUGAAAGACUGAGCAUAACAUCUUCAGGGCACGUGGUAACACGGAGAGGAAGUGGAAGAAACCUUGGGACGCUCCCAUAACUCAGGAGCAAGAAAUACACCUUACUGGAAACCUUGUGACUGACAGGUGGCGGUGACUGCAGGAACCAAUUCAGAUGUCUGUCUUGUGUUGGCGAACGUCCUGUCUGCAGUCAGGCCAGUAGUGCCAUGUCGCAGGGUGUGACAUCAGGUGAAGAGCCAAAUGGAGAGUGUCUGCAGCCAGUACUGGGUGUGCUGAUGCUGUACAAGUGUCGAGCCAGGUGCCACAGCACAUGACUCCACCAGUGUAGUGUCUCUAGUC